rnacentral:rRNA from 1 species
CAUGCAAGUCGAACGCGUCUUGGGGGCAACUCCAAGAUGAGUGGCGAACGGGUGAGUAACACGUGGGUAAUCUCCCCCCGAGUGAGGAAUAAGCCCGCGAAAGCGGGUCUAAUACUGCAUAACACCCCGGGGCAUAAGCUUCCGGGGUCAAAGCCGUAAGGCGCUUGGGGAUGAGCUUGCGUCCUAUUAGCUAGUUGGUAGGGUAACGGCCUACCAAGGUUAUGAUGGGUAGCCGGCCUGAGAGGGUGCUCGGCCACACUGGGACUGAGACACGGCCCAGACUCCUACGGGAGGCAGCAGUGAGGAAUCUUGCGCAAUGGGCGAAAGCCUGACGCAGCGACGCCGCGUGGAGGAAGACGGCCUUCGGGUUGUAAAGCCCUCUCAGGUGGGAAGAAACAUAUCGGUGCUAAUAUCACCGAUGUUUGACGG